GCUGGGUGUGGUGGCACAGGCCUGUCAUCCCAGCAACUCGGGAGGCUGAGGCAGGAGGAUCACAAGUUAGAGGCCAGCCUCGGCCACUAGGUGAGGGCCUCAGCAACUUAGAGAGAUCUUGUCUCAA
rnacentral:sRNA from 1 species